UAAAACAGUUUCUGCCUAAAGUUGCUUUCUGCUUUUUUUGUGGUAGGAGACAACGCUGUCUCUGCUGAUUUGUUUUGUUGCAGUUGUUCUUUUAGCUGUUUUGUUCUCAUGCAGAUUUGUGCUUCCCUGGGCAUCAUCCUCUGGCUGGUUUCUUUCUAGCCUCCGAGAAGGGCAAGGAAACGGUUCAGUUUGAAGAAAGGAACUUGAGGCUUGCUAAAAUGCAUCUUCAGAUCCGGAUCCUGGAUCUCUGGAAUCUCCUCAGAGGCGUUGGGCAAGAAUAGCUUGUCUACACAUGCAAUCUCCUUUGUGAUACUGGCUCCCCGGUGCGAAAUCCUGCCGUUUUCAGCUCAGGAGAAGCAUCUCAUCCAGAGAUCUGGCUGAAGUCUAUCCAGAAUCUGCAAUCAAGCAAGCAAUGGUGAUAAGGUCUAGCCAGAACUUCCGGCCUCUCUUUCAACGAUGAAGAACUUGCCUUCAAAAUGGCUUGGUGGAGCUACUUCGUCAACAAAGGGUUGGGCAAAUGGCGUGGGUCCUUCUCGAAAGUCUUCAAAAGGUCCUCCAUCCGUUGGGUGAGGAUUUCUGGACCAUCAGAGAAGUUGGCAACAUGUCCAGAGCACUUUGGUUUCCUCCGAAAGUCAUUAAUGAAAUGGCAGAAGACCUUCUUGAGUGGAUCACAAGAGGGAUGGGAACCACUUUGCCCUGAAAGCUGUAGGGUUUUGUUUUUGUUUCAUUGCCAGGAUAGAGAGAGACUUAGUAGCACACAACCACUGCAGAGUAACUUUAAUGGCCCACUAAAAGUCUCUAAUGGAUAAACAGGUCCUGUACAGUCUUUUAUUGGUGGUGUAAUUAAGGCAGAAUGGCAU